UUCAUUUAGGAAACAUCGCUAUCUAGAAAAAAAAAUUUUGAACCAAAAAUUCACAAAUUAGCUGGACACUUUCGCCCUCCAGACCUUCAGAUCCUAGUCACGCGACAUUGCGAAUUCAUGAUCUUGGAUCUCAAUAUCGACCUGAUGUCUGAAGGACAUAAAUCCUCUAGAAAAGCCGGCGCCGAAGAAAGUUAUCACUCUCCAAAGGAAUCUAUCAGCUUGAGGCUGUUCGCCAACUAAUCGAUGGUCAAUCAGUUGAUCUUAGCCUUUGAACCUGGAGGACGCAAUGCCAGCCAGAAUCUCGACCUUGGCACCAAACACAAAAAAUGGGUUCUUUGAUCAAAAGGAUGAUAAGGAUCCACCAGCCUUCACCAUCAUCCAAAAAGAUGGUCUCGAAUCUUCCCUUCCGAUUCUCCAGUUGGACAUGGAUGACGAUGACUACGAGAGAGCUUCCGCAAGGACAAUGACCUUGAGCCAGAAUGGCAAGAAUGGCUUCCAAACACGCAGACGAAUCAGCAAGUCUAAUGAUCACCUGGUGCUGGCUAGUCUUCAGAGUCAUCAGUCUAACCCUCUGAGGAUCAGAGAGCAGAGCAAGAGUCAUGGGAAUCUUAAAACUGAUGACGAUUCUUCGGAUCAGGGAAAAUCUUCAAUGGUACUUUCCACUGAGGAUUUUAAUGAGGUGUUGAAUGCCAAGUUGAGAAGGAUCCAGGAACAGGAAGAGGAGGAAUUGACUAGGAGGAACUUCAGGAAACAUCAGCAGGUCAUACACCCAAAGCCUUUUUUCACAACCGUCAAAACUGGAGAAUUUUUGAUGCCACCACCGGAAGUGGCGGCUUUACUUGGAAUCGCUCCAAACUGUGGUUACGGAAGUGUCUUGUCCGAAACAAAUGACGAGGUGGAUCUCUUCCAUCGACCGAGAUUUCGACACCUUGACUCUCUCAGCAAAAGGCCGGAAGUUCGUCACAGCAGUCACAACUCUCGAUGUCCGGCAGCUCUCAAGGCCACCGAGGAUUUCUAUUAUCUUCCAAUGAAUGCUUCUUCUAUAACUACUGCUUCUUCGAUGGAUGAUCGAGCGAAACGAAUCAAGAGGAAUGAAUUUCCGAUUGUCAGAUAUCCAAAGCGAGCGUUACCAAAAAAGUUGGAACCGAUCGAGGGCACCAUGAAAAUGCUGCCAAUACGCGGUGAUAAUGUUCCUUUCGGGAACAUCAUGUACGAUCGGCGAGUGGCGCGUGGAAGUAAUUUUUCUUCUGCUCCAGUUGCUAUGGAUUGUGAAUCGCAAGCGAUGAGGCACGCUGAAACGAGAAGACGCGAAAUGGCAGGACGAAAAGUUCGAUCGCAAGCUUCAAGAGCACUUUUAAGGCGCAUCGGGUCUCCACCUCCAGUACCUGGAAGGAAGCAUGAACCUGUACAGACUGACCUUUACCUUGAGGAGCUUUAUGAAAAGCCUGACGAGUCGGAGGUAGCUACUCAAACAGACUACUUCCUGGACAGACCAUCAACGCCAAUUUAUUGCCCGGGAAAAAUUGGCCAAGACGUCUGUACGCAGAUCGAAGCGGGUGACCUCUUCGACUACGACGUCGAGGUUCAGCCAAUCCUUGAGAUACUAGUUGGAAAAACAAUCGAGCAGGCUUUGAUUGAAGUUUUAGAGGAAGAGGAAAUAGCAGCUUUGAGAGAACAGCAGAGAAGGUUUUUGGAACUUCGAGCUGCUGAGAAGGCCGAACAACAGAGGCUGGAAGAACAGGAAAGACGUUUGAGAGAAGAGAAGUGUCGACGAGUAAAACAACAUCAAGAGGCAACGAAAACGCAACAAGAAACUGAGGACAGAGUCGCUGCAGCUGUUCUCUUAACUGGCUACAUAGCUGAACUACUUCCGGCCGUUCUUGAAGGCCUCAAAAUGUCCGGUUUCCUAUUGGACGAAAUCAAGGCUGACGUCGAGGAAGGUUUUAUGCCCUGGUUGAUGAAAGAGGUCAAGAAGGAGGUGGGCUCGAUGAUCGAUAGCAGAGAACUAUUAAUGGAAAUCAUUAAAGAAAUUUUGGAAAAUCGGGCAGAAACUUACAAAAGACUAGGAGAAGAAUACGAUGCAUCGAGGGAUCGAACUAGACAAAAUGACGAGGAGGGAGGAGAGUUCGAGGAAGAGCCGAUUAAUUCUAUUCAUUAUCAGGAGUCCAUGACUGAAAACGUAGAUGAAAAUUAGCAAGGAAGUCUGCGUUCUCAAAUAUGAAAAGAAGCCUUCGUUCUCAAAUAUAAAAGGAAGUAUUGGUUCUGAAAUUAAAAAAAAAAUGAAUCUUUGGUUACAAAUAUAAAAAAAGUCUUCGUUCUCAAAUAUGAAAAGAAAUCUUCAUACCCAAAUAUACAAAGAAGUCCUAGUUCCCAAAUACAAAAAGAACUCUUCGUUACCAAACAUAAAAGGAAGUCUGCGUUCUCAAAUAUAAAAGGAAGUCUGCGUUCUCUAAUAUAAAAGGAAGUCUUCGUUCGAAAAUUAAAAAAAAAUUGUUUUCGAAUAUAAAAAGGGGCCUUUGAUCUCAAAUAUAAAAGUUUGGCGUUAAAAAUCGGCACUUGGAUUGUGGUUUGAUUAUACAAAUAAUCUUCUCUCAACAAUUUGUGUUACUCUCUCCUCUCCAUAUGCAAUAGAAAUCAAGAAAUCAUCAAAAAAUGAUUUCUGUGUGUAAUAAAUUUACCACUUGUAUAAAAAAAUGUUUUAUUUUUUUUUUAUUUUUAAAAUGUCUUUGCCAAGGUUGUUUCAUGCA